ACCGAUUCACUUCAAUAUCUUAACAUAAUCGGCAUGAGGAAAUCCGACUAUGUUAUUUAAAGACUGAAAAGCUUACAUGGGAUGGCAAGGAAGAAGAAACUGUCCCUUGUGGCCCAAACUGUUACUUUCAGUUUUAAUGACACCAGAGUGAUCCGGAGGAUCACCAAGAUCAACUGAGAGCUGCUUGACGGCCCGUG